AGUGGCGGACGGGUGAGUAACGCGUGAGAAUCUGCCCUUUGGAUGGGGAUAACGACUGGAAACGGUCGCUAAUACCCAAUAUGCCGAAAGGUGAAAGCUUUAGCGCCUGAGGAUGAACUCGCGUCUGAUUAGCUAGUUGGUAGUGUAAUGGACUACCAAGGCGACGAUCAGUAGCUGGUCUGAGAGGAUGAUCAGCCACACUGGGACUGAGACACGGCCCAGACUCCUACGGGAGGCAGCAGUGGGGAAUUUUCCGCAAUGGGCGAAAGCCUGACGGAGCAACGCCGCGUGAGGGAAGACGGCUCGUGGGUUGUAAACCUCUUUUCUCUAGGAAGAAGAACUGACGGUACUAGAGGAAUCAGCAUCGGCUAACUCCGUGCCAGCAGCCGCGGUAAUACGGAGGAUGCAAGCGUUAUCCGGAAUUAUUGGGCGUAAAGCGUCCGUAGGCGGUUUUACAAGUCUGCUGUUAAAGCGUGCAGCUCAACUGCAUAUAGGCAGUGGAAACUGUAAGACUAGAGUGUAGUAGGGGUAGAGGGAAUUCCCAGUGUAGCGGUGAGAUGCGUAGAUAUUGGGAAGAACAUCGGUGGCGAAAGCGCCUUGCUGGGUCUGCACUGACACUGAGGGACGAAAGCUAGGGGAGCGAAAGGGAUUAGAUACCCCUGUAGUCUUAGCUGUAAACGAUGGAUACUAGGCGUUG
rnacentral:rRNA from 1 species